rnacentral:rRNA from 1 species
GAACCUGCGGAGGGAUCAUUACAGAGUUGCAAAACUCCCUAAACCAUUGUGAACGUUACCUUUACCGUUGCUUCGGCGGGCGGCCCGGGUCCUGCCCGGCGCCCCUCGGCCCUCGCGGGCGCCCGCCGGAGGAAAACCAAACCAUUGCAUUGUAUGGCCUCUCUGAGUCUUCUGUACUGAAUAAGUCAAAACUUUCAACAACGGAUCUCUUGGUUCUGGCAUCGAUGAAGAACGCAGCGAAAUGCGAUAAGUAAUGUGAAUUGCAGAAUUCAGUGAAUCAUCGAAUCUUUGAACGCACAUUGCGCCCGCCAGUAUUCUGGCGGGCAUGCCUGUUCGAGCGUCAUUUCAACCAUCAAGCCCCCGGCUUGUGUUGGGGACCUGCGGCUGCCGCAGGCCCUGAAAACCAGUGGCGGGCUCGCUGUCACUCCGAGCGUAGUAGUUUACAUCUCGCUCAGGGCGUGCUGCGGGUUCCGGCCGUUAAAAGCCUUAUUUUACCCAAGGUUGACCUCGGAUCAGGUAGGAAGACCCGCUACUUAAGCAUAUCAAU